GAGGGCAUAGCUCAGCAGUACACCACAUGAUUAGCAUGCAUGAGGACCUGGGUUCAAUUCCCAGUACCUCCA
rnacentral:tRNA from 1 species